rnacentral:rRNA from 1 species
UACAGAGGUCUCAAGCGUUGUUCGGAUUCAUUGGGCGUAAAGGGUGCGUAGGCGGCGCGGUAAGUCGGGUGUGAAAUCUCGGAGCUUAACUCCGAAACUGCAUUCGAUACUGCCGUGCUUGAGGACUGGAGAGGAGACUGGAAUUUACGGUGUAGCGGUGAAAUGCGUAGAGAUCGGGAAGAAGGCCGGUGGCGAAGGCGGCUCUCUGGAACGUUCCUGACACUGAGGCACGAAAGCGUGGGGAGCAAACAGG